GGGAGUUCUUGGCUCAGUAACAGUUCAGAGCAGCACUGGUCUGUCUGUGAGCAAGCUUAAUGAUUUGAAGUACCAUAUUUUUUCUGAUGCUGGAAAGUGGCAGAGAGCCACCAUUCCCAGACAGCCACACAACAAUUCAGACCUAGAUCUCCUGCCAGGACCUUGACUAUCCAACCAUCACCAUCAUCACCACCACCGUUACCACCACCACCACCAUCAUCAGUGCCAUCCUCAGGUGGUCUGCUGUACCCUUGGCCACUAUGCUUUCUGAUCUCCAUCAACAGCUUUCCCAAAGACACAAG
ensembl:lncRNA